rnacentral:rRNA from 1 species
GACUACAUGAAGCUGGAAUCGCUAGUAAUCGCGGAUCAGAACGCCGCGGUGAAUACGUUCCCGGGUCUUGUACACACCGCCCGUCACACCAUGGGAGUCGGAAAUGCCCGAAGCCGGUGACCCAACCCGAAAGGGAGGGAGCCGUCGAAGGCAGGUCGGAUGACUGGGGUGAAGUCGUAACAAGGUAAC